GACGAACGCUGGCGGCGUGCUUAACACAUGCAAGUCGAACGGUGAAAGCGGAGCUUGCUCCGCUGGAUCAGUGGCGAACGGGUGAGUAACACGCGGGCAACCUGCCCCUCACUUCGGGAUAACCCCGGGAACCCGGGGCUACUACCGGACAUCACCUCCUUGGGCAUCCUUGGAGGUGGAUAGGUUUUCGGUGAGGGACGCGCCCGCGGCCUAUCAGCUUGUUGGUGAGGUAGUGGCUCACCAAGGCGACGACGGGUAGCCGGCCUGAGAGGGCAACCGACCACACUGGGACUGAGACACGGCCCAGACUCCUACGGGAGGCAGCAGUGGGGAAUAUUGCGCAAUGGGCGAAAGCCUGACGCAGCAACGCCGCGUGCGGGAUGACGGCCUUCGGGUUGUAAACCGCUUUCAGCAGGGAAGAAGCCGCAAGGUGACGGUACCUGCAGAAGAAGCACCGGCUAACUACGUGCCAGCCGCCGCAGUAA
rnacentral:rRNA from 1 species